rnacentral:misc_RNA from 1 species
CUGAGUUUUCAACUCUCCAAAACCAUGUGAACUUACCACUGUUGCCUCGGUGGUUGGUCUUCGGACUGACCACCGGUGGACUACUAAACUCUUGUUAAUUUUUGGCAUUCUGAAUCAUAACUAAGAAAUAAGUUUAA